rnacentral:rRNA from 1 species
ACGGGUGAGUAACGCGUAUCCAACCUGCCGUCUACUCUUGGACAGCCUUCUGAAAGGAAGAUUAAUACAAGAUGGCAUCAUGAGUCCGCAUGUCCACAUGAUUAAAGGUAUUCCGGUAGACGAUGGGGAUGCGUUCCAUUAGAUAGUAGGCGGGGUAACGGCCCACCUAGUCUUCGAUGGAUAGGGGUUCUGAGAGGAAGGUCCCCCACAUUGGAACUGAGACACGGUCCAA